rnacentral:lncRNA from 1 species
GUCUCUCCUGGGCCUCCGGCUCCGUCCCUCAGGGUCUGAACCUUUCUGUCCCCUCUCCUGUGGGUCGUGGUCUCUCUCACUGUCCACAGGCAGGCCUUGGAGCUUUAGUCUGGCCUGGCGCUGGGGCUGGGGGGAGGUUCCAUGACAGUUGGAGGGGUUCCAGGAGGUUGGGACGUUGGCCAUGGACUCAUGUUCUACUCUAGGUGCACUGGAACCGAUCUCUUCAUGGGAGGAGGACCGCAAGUUCGUCCUGCGAGCCUGGUGUCUCGUCUUCAUCAUCCUGGCAACCAUGAUGCUGCUCAGCGUGCUGGACGGGCGUAUGGCCUACCUGCACGGUUCCUACACCGGCUACGUGGGCUUCUGGACCAACUGCGAGAAGCACACGUGUGCCGACCUGCGCCAAGUCACGGUUCUCAUCCACAUGAGCAUGGGCCUCAUGAUCCUGGCCAUGAUCCUGUCUCUAGUCCUCCUCCUGGCCAUGGGCUUCUCCUUCCGGCCCGCGCUCCGCCGUCUUAACAAGACCGACCUCGUCUUCAGUACCCUCAGCUCCUUCACUGUGCAGGGCUCCUGA